AUGUUUCCCAGUACUAUUUCUUCAACCAUCACAUGUCAAAAUCCUAGGUGUGCGAUAUUCUCUGAUUCUGAUGUUCAGAUUGAGAAAAUUUCACAAGAAGUUGUGCCUGACAACAAAUUAGAUGUGUCAAAUACUUUGUCCUCAAGGAGGUUUCCUAGUAAGAUUGGAUUACAUCCUCCAACUUGCAUAAAGAGUUGUAAAACUUGCACUCCAUGCACACCGAUUCUCGUGUCAGGUCCCCCUCCAGAAUCAGAAGUGUGGAAGUGCAAAUGCAAGGAUAAGUUAUACAAUCCAAUUGGUUAA